AGAGUUUGAUCCUGGCUCAGAAUGAACGUUGGCGGCGUGGAUUAGGCAUGCAAGUCGCGCGAGAAAUUUUCUUCGGAAAGUGGAAAGCGGCGGAAGGGAGAGGAUAAGGUAGAAAUCUACCCUCGGGACGGGGAUAGCUGCGGGAAACUGCUGGUAAUACCCGAUAAUAUCUUUGGAUCAAAGGUGUGAUUCCGCCUGGGGAUGAGUCUACUUCCUAUUAGCUAGUUGGCAGGGNUAAUGGCCUACCAAGGCAACGAUGGGUAGCGGGUGUGAGAGCAUGACCCGCCUCACUGGGACUGAGAACUGCCCAGNACACCUACGGGUGGCUGCAGUCGAGAGUCUUCGGCAAUGGGCGCAAGCCUGACUGAGCGACGCCGCGUGCGGGAUGAAGGCCUUCGGGUUGUAAACCGCUAUCGUAGGGGAACAAAUGUAAGUGGGUUCUCCCAUUUACUUGAGUGAUCCUAGGAGGAAGGGGAGGCUAAGCUCGUGCCAGCAGCCGCGGUAAGACGAGCUCCCCGAACGUUAUUCGGUAUUACUGGGCUUAAAGAGUUCGUAGGCGGCCCGACAGGUGAGGUGUGAAAUCCCUCGGCUCAACCGAGGAACUGGCNCUUCAAACCGUCANGCUUGAGGGAGAUAGAGGUGANCGGANCANAUGGUGGAGCGGUGAAAUGCNUUGAUAUCAUCUGGAACACCGGUGGCGAAAGCGGCUCACUGGAUCUUUUNCUG
rnacentral:rRNA from 1 species